rnacentral:lncRNA from 1 species
AUUAUACUUACAGUCAAACGAAUCCUAAGUCAUCUUUGUCCAAAGGGAGUUCUGUUGUCCCUGUGGCUGUCCAUGCAUUUCCAGAAAAAUUGAUGCUCAAUUCAAGCAAUAAAUGAAAAAUAAAAAUAAACUGAGAGAUCCAUAAAAUAAAACUUUUAUGCAUCAGAGAUUCUGAUUUCCUAUUGAUAAAUGAUUCAUCCUCUCCCAAAAGGAGUAUGAUAAAUUAGAAAUUCAUCAUCUGCAUCUAAUAAUAUUAAAUAAAUCAGAAAAUAUCAAUCAAAAGACAAUUUUAAUGGCCUUUAAACACAGAACAUAAAAAUUUAUUUUAUAUUUUGAACUCCUUAAAAUAAGAAGCAACUGUCGGUAUAAGACUAGUAAAGAAAAAAUUGUAAAUGCUCUUAAUUAUCAUUCAAUAAAUUAAUGUAUAAAAGGAGGAAAAAUUCUUCCAAAAUCAACAGAUUGCCUCAGAGGUAGUGACAAUAGUGUAUCAUCAUCGUCUUUAUCUCUGAUAAUACGUGCAAUAAUAAGUUCAUCCCAGGCAAACCAAGAACAAAUAGAGCAUCAGACAAGAUUCCAAAACAUUCAAUUUGCAUAAGAAAUGUAGAUUUUCACAUUACCUCUUUAGAUGAUAUUUUUUUUGUGAAGUCACAUACAGACUUGAAGGAGAAUUUGUCGCAAAAAUAUUCGAAGAAGGGGUUGUGAGAUCGUGUACUUGGUGUGUACUCAAAAAGACGUAUUAAUUUCCAUCCAAAUUCUUUCACUAUUUCCAAUUACAAAAAAUUGCAAUAUAAACCAUGUAUUCACAACUUCACAUCCAAGACAAAAGAAAACAGAGUUCAGAGCAUCAAUUGAGACAAUUCAUAAGCAUAAUCAAAGUUCACAGCAUCUCUGCAAAAUCACAUUCAAAUAGAAUGCUUAUUUCCCUCUGUUUUACGAAAAAAUAAAUAAAAUAUUUAAAUGUAGAAGUAAAAGUCUACACAAGCCUCGAAAUCUGUAAAAUACACCACAAUUUGAACUUAAGUUUCCAAUUUUAACAACAAUUAAAUACAAGUUUCCCCUUUGAAACUAGGAAAGUCAGUAAUCUAAAAUGCAUAAGAAUUGGCAAUAAAUGCAAGUUAAAUUUUAAUUUAAAUCAAACAAUAGCAUCAGAGAGAUUCCCAUUAGACUAAGUCAUCUUUCUCCAAAAGGAGUCUGAUGUCCCUGUCUAUUUUGUCGUCACCUGCAUUGUUUCAUUUAAACUUGAACGAUACAAUCUAAUGCCUUAAACCAAAAAUAAAAAUUCGAAAUAUUAAAGAGUAGAGCAAUUGAUGCCUCAGAUUAUAUUCUUUUCAUAGUAAAUCACUCAAAGUAUAUUUAUCACCAUCACAGGCACAAUCAUAUUCCAACAAAAUUCAUACUUAUUAUCAAAAAUAUAAAAUAAAAUAUUCACUGAGGAAAAUGAUUCAUCUUUCCUCCAAGAGGAGUAUGAUAAUUUUGAAAUUCAUCAUUUGCAUCUAAUAACAUUAUAAAAUAAGAAAUUUAUCAAUUAAAAGACAAAUAUAAUUCGCCUUUUAUCGCUGCUGAAAAACGCAGGGAUUACAGUAGAAAAAUGUAAUUAUAUCAUAAUCAGUAAAUCAUAAACAUACAUGUAUACUGUGAAGAGAACCAUAUGCAGCCACGCUGAAUUAGGGUUUUGUGAAGGCGAUUGUCAAUUAAUGAGUGUAAAUACAGCUUAUAUAGAG